AUGGCAAAAGAACCUACAACAAUGACUUUUAUCACCAUCUUCAUCUGGGCACUUGCCUUCUGCACUCAGGAAACUGCAGGGCAGUACACUGUGACUCAGACUCCUGCAGCGAAAACUGUUAUUCCAGGAGCGUCAGUGUCACUGAGCUGUAAAGUCAGCAGUGCUGUGUACAAAGAUUAUUAUGGCAACAACUACCUACACUGGUCCCUGCAGAAACCUGGAGAAGCUCCUAAACUCCUGAUCCAUACAGCAAGCACCCGUCACACGGGGACUCCAGAUCGAUUCAUUGUCAGUGGAUCUGGGACUGACUUCACUCUGACCAUCAGUGGAGUCCAGGCUGAAGAUGCAGGAGAUUACUACUGUCAGAGUUUUCAUUACCCUAAUAGUGUCCGAGUGUUCACACAGUGGGACCCCUCCUUGCUGUGGGAAGAUGCAAAAGAAGUGGACCUCCAGCGAUAA